CUUUGUUCCUAGCCCUCGCUUCCACAGACAAACCAUCUUCGCAAGAGACCUUACUGAGGCAGUGAGAUUGUUGGUGGGUGUUUUCCUUUUUUUAAUUUUUAAUUUUUUAAUAUAUGUUUUUAAGUUCAUUUAGCAACUCAGGAUGCACAGACUCUGCUUCUGACUUGGCAUGCCAAGACUUUGCAAGAAUCUACCAGCAGAAAGAAAUGAAGAGCCUUGGGAAGGUGACGGGACCAUGGAGUCUCCUGGAUUUGCUCUCACUAUGUGUUUCAAUGUACCGAGCCACUGAUGAGUGUGAGACCGAGGAACUAAAACCUUUCCUGCUGUGGUGCAGCUGCCCUUGGUGGAAUUACCCCAUGGUCAAUGUGAUGUGAAGAGGCUAACUCAAACCACACAUGAAGAGAUGGAUGACCUGUGCUUGAUGCUGAUGGAGGGGAUUCAGAUGCCUAAUUCUGUGUGUUGGGGAAGGCAGAGAACAUAAGAGACCUGUGAUCCAUGGUGCAGCACUAAGCAAUGGCACCGGAGUGCUAGAUUUCCAUAUCAGCUCUGUUUCAGUGCUGGAGGGUGCCUUACCUGGAUGCUAGAUGUUGAAUUGCAUAUUUGGGCAGUUCGGGGCAUAGCCAGAAAUAGAAACCGAGAAGGAGUGUGCCUCAGUACCAUGGACCUUUGGGGGGUCUCAGGUCCCAGAAACCUCUGAAUUUGUUGUUUUGAAGACCCAUAUUUUGGUCUUAGUAUCUAAAAUGUAGGUAAAAUAGCAAAUUAGUUUUUUGAUGGCUCUAGUCCUCAGUCCUAAAGUAAAUCCUUAUUGGAAAGUAUGUAAAGAGCUGAAGAAAUCCUUCUCCAAACCAUGAAUGAACCAUCUGAGUCCCUUCCAUUUUAAACUGCUCAAAUCCUAUGUGUUUCUGAGGGUAGUGUUUACUGCUGAUAGGUAAUAUUGACUUUUUUUCUCAGUUUUCAUGGCCACAUUGCUUCUCUUCUAGAUCCUUAUGUUUCCUCAGGCUCUAACAAACUGUCUUCCUUUGCUGCUUCCAGUUCUUCAUAUUCACAUUUAAUGUUAGCUGGACACACCAAGGCAGAGUGUCCUUUCCUCAACAAGAGACAGCAUCCUGAGCAGAUUUGCCUAAAGAAGGACCUCCACAGAUAUUACAUCACUUCUGGUCUUUGGACAGGAACAUAUUUGCCUAAUUCCACGUAUCUUCUCAACAUAUUCCAUCAACCAGUGAUACGGGGAACAUGCUCCAGGAUGCUGAUACUUCAUUGACCCACCUAGCAUACCACUCAAUCCUGUUAGGUGCCUCAUCUCUCUGUUUACUCUGGCAAAGUUUAAGUCUACCUCCAAGUAAGCCUAAGGUUUAUGCAGAGCUGCAGAAAGGCUGCCUUUCAUGUUUGCCUGUCUGCUACAUCCAACGGAGCCCUGCCUGCAGGUGGUGUGUAAAGCUGUUAGGUGCCUACAAGAAAGGUAACAGGGUACUUGCAUCCUCUGCAAUAGGAAGAUGGAUCUUUACCUGUUCAGGUGAGCAGCACAAUGUUGUUGCUGCUUGAUGUUUUUCUGGAAAAUUCUCUUUGAUGAAGACACAGGUAUAAAGCAGGGAAAAGCCAGACUUUAGCUGAAGGUCUGAUGGCUGCUGAAAGGAUGGUGAUGGAAAGCACUUAAUUUAGGAAAACAAUUCACCAUUGUUUUUAGUGCUUUAGCAAUAAUUUAUGACUAUUAUUUCUGAAAAUGCCCUUACCUUACUCCCUUCAUUUUUUCACACUCUUCAUAACCCAUGUUACAGAAAUACUACGUUACUUGAUCAAUAUUUUAUGUAUCCCAGAGAUGCUAGAAGCUCUUUUGUACCAAACUUUCACUGAGAUAUCCCUCAAGGUCUCAUGACCCAGAGACUGAGACUUCUGUGUUGGCUUUUGUUUUGUUUUGCUUUGUUUGUUUAGAAACAAGAGAUCACAUGUUCAAAACACUGGUGGAAUUACCUGCUGUGGUACCUGUUGUCAUAUCCAAACUCAAGACACUUGGGUUGUGCUCUUGGCUUUGCCAGUUACUCCUUGUAUGAUUUUAAAUGCACAGGUUCCUUAUUUGUGCGUGUAUUUAUUACUUGGAAAACUUGGGAAAUAACUGGUCCUGUGUGUUUCCUAUUAAUUCCUUCAGGAAGGAACUGUCUCACCCUUUGUUUGUGAAUACCUUAGAUAGAACAUCAAGGAACAGCUAUGAACCACAGACUUAAUAAUAAAAAUAUUUUUAUUAUUA